rnacentral:lncRNA from 1 species
GGGGGGGGGGCGCGAAAUUCCUUCCCUCAUUCCUCACCCACUCAAUUCAAACACGCUCCAGAGAGACUCAGUGUCGCUCUCUCUUCGAACCAACCAAGGACUGGGAUUCGCAAGUCGCCGUCUCCGACCAGCCACCGCUUCUCUGUCGUGCCGUCAUGAGCCACACCAAUUUCGCCGGACCACCACCGUGAGCAACUCUACUCGCACAGCCAUGGCAGCCGCCACGCGAUAUCCCAUGGUUCUGCCACCAUCGUCUUCGCUAAAACGACCACCGUGAGUCGCACCCCCCCAAACCAUCGCUAGUUCGAGGUGUCACCAGCGACUCCAAGCGUCACCGGAGCAGCUACCGGCCAUGGGGUCAGAUCCUCUCUUUCUCCUCCCUUCCGCGCAUGAGAGAAGCUCUCUCACUCCUCCGUCAAUCGCCGCCCAAGCGAACCCAGCCGUCUCGAACCAGGGGACCACCAUUGCCAUCAGUCAUGGCCAAGGUCGCUGCCGGUCAUCGCCGGCCACCUUUACCGCCACAACCAAAUCCACCUCUACCCCUAAAACCCCAACGCCUCAUCGGAGCCAUCAAAAACGCUACCGCGCCCUCCACCCCUGAGGGGUUCAUUGUUUAAUUAACAGAUAACAUAAUCACGGAGGCUUACCAAGACCAUGUUUGGGGAUGAUUUGGAAUUUCUAAUUUUUGUGCUUGUUUGGUUGUUUUGGGUUUCUGUUAUGGUAUUGUGCGUAUGUGAAUUUGGACUUGUGUGAGUAGCAGCUAUUCUCUGUUUUCCUCUUCUUGCUUAAGACCAUAUAUGGUUUCUGGUAUCAAUAAGGGUGGUGGACGAAGACAUGGAGUCCGCUGUCUUAGGUGUUACGCGUGUGGGUGGAGGAAGAUGGAAUGGGUGCCACAAAUUGGUGGGUUCGGCGACGGUGGUGAGAAGGAAACAGAUUUGCAAUGGUUUUCUGGUAAGAAGAAAAGACCUUGGGUUAUUGGUAUUUCCAGGCGGGAUGGCGAGACAUGGCUUUUGGGGAAUUGGUUUCUGAGUAAUGGGGAGUAAGCUUCAGAGGCUCGGA